rnacentral:rRNA from 1 species
UUCCGGUUGAUCCUGCCGGAGGUCACCGCUAUUGGGAUUCGACUAAGCCAUGCGAGUCGAGAGGGUUCGGCCCUCGGCUGACGGCUCAGUAACACGUGGAUAAUCUGCCCUAUGGUGGAGGAUAACCUCGGGAAACUGAGAACAAUACUCCAUAGGUCUAGGAGGCUGGAAUGCAUCUAGACUGAAAACUCCGGUGCCAUAGGAUGAGUCUGCGGACUAUCAGGUUGUAGUCAGGGUAAUGACCUGACUAGCCUACGACGGAUACGGGUUGUGAGAGCAAUAACCCGGAGAUGAUAUCUGAGACACGAUAUCAGGCCCUACGGGGCGCAGCAGGCGCGAAAACUUCACACUGCGCGAAAGCGCGAUGAGGGGAUCCCAAGUGUAUGCACGUAAGUGUAUACUGUUUCUAUGUUUAAAACGCAUUGAGAGUAAGGGCUGGGUAAGACGGGUGCCAGCCGCCGCGGUAAUACCUGCAGCUCGAGUGGUGAUCACUAUUAUUGGGCCUAAAACGUCCGUAGCCGGUCUAGUAAAUGCCUGGGUAAAUCGUACGGCUUAACCGUACGAAUUCUGGGUAGACUGCUAAACUUGAGACCGGGAGAGGCUAGAGGUACUCCUGGGGUAGAGGUGAAAUUCUGUAAUCCUAGGGGGACCACCAGUGGCGAAGGCGUCUAGCUAGAACGGGUCUGACGGUGAGGGACGAAGCCCUGGGGCGCGAACCGGAUUAGAUACCCGGGUAGUCCAGGGUGUAAACGCUGCUUGCUUGAUGUUAGUCGGGCUCCGAGCCCGAUUAGUGUCGGAGUGAAGAUGUUAAGCAAGCUGCCUGGGAAGUACGAUCGCAAGAUUGAAACUUAAAGGAAUUGGCGGGGGAGCACAGCAACGGGUGGAGCGUGCGGUUUAAUUGGAUUCAACGCCGGG